rnacentral:rRNA from 1 species
UACGUAGGGUGCGAGCGUUGUCCGGAAUUAUUGGGCGUAAAGAGCUUGUAGGCGGUUUGUCGCGUCUGCUGUGAAAAUCCGGGGCUCAACCCCGGACUUGCAGUGGGUACGGGCAGACUAGAGUGUGGUAGGGGAGACUGGAAUUCCUGGUGUAGCGGUGGAAUGCGCAGAUAUCAGGAGGAACACCGAUGGCGAAGGCAGGUCUCUGGGCCAUUACUGACACUGAGAAGCGAAAAGCAUGGGGGAGCGAACAGG